CAAGCUUUGAGCUUUGCAUUUAGCUUAGCUUGAUGGCUCGUUGAGAGCUGAAGAAGCUGUUGCUGGGGGUGGUUAUGCAGCGUCCUGAGCAAGAAGCUGUUUGGAAUGCCAAGGAAGGCAAGAUAAGAACAUUCUACUAAAAACAAAGUUGUAGUUUGUUUGCAUGCUGUCGUUUGAAGAAGACCAGAGAUAUUGUUUGUUAUUGAUUCCCAUUUCACACAAAAAAACCCAGAACUCCAGUUCAAAGACUUGUCAAUAUCAACCCGAUACAACUAUCAAGCCUCCAAGCUGACAAGAAUAACCUGCUAUAGCUCAUGUUAUGAUUUAAUAAAACUUUUUUGCUGCCUAGCUGGGCUUGCAAAACAGAAAUAUCUUCCCACAAUACAGGAAUGAUAGACUGUGGUCUGUGCUUAUGCUACUGGUGAGUGGUUGUUAGAAGUGAGCAUUUUUGCUGCCCUUUAAGAGAAACAAAGUCCACCCUGCCCGGAACAUAAUGACACUUCCCACCAUGGUGCAGGAUCACAAGGCAACUGCCAAGAGGGUUUGAAGUCUCCAACCACCUUUCUGAUAUCCUCUUUUCUUUUCAUCACUCAAACUGAACAAGUUUUAUUAAGGAUGAAACAUUGGAUAUCCAUCAGCUAUGGAUAUAUUUCCAGAAAUACUUCUGGGAUGUUAUCUGUCUUAGUUCUGCAUCACUCUGACUUUGAUCACAACGCAACUGUUUCUUGAGUGCUGAGAAAUCUUUAUAAAAGGAAAUCUGAAGUAAUGAUACCACUAUGUAACACAAUUUUUGUUCCUUGGUUAUAAAUAUUAUUUCCCAAUUGGUCCUAUUAUAAAAACAUGGAAAAAUUAUUAAACUGAAAAAACCUUUUUGUGGGACAUCCUGCAGCACAUUUUGCUACAGUUUUUCAAUAAAUAUAUCAUAGAGUCUCAACCAAUUCAACAUAGUUUGUGGCAGCCACAAAGUUUGUGGAGUAUAACAACUAUUUUCAAAGUAAAAACUACACAAUUAAACAGAAAAGACCACUUUCAAACCAGGAACAUUUUUUUUCCAAAUUUUGUUACAUACUGUAUUUUUCAUAGUCUAGGAGUUAUUCUACAUGAAACUGAAAUAUUUUGGCAGUAAACGGCAUUUUUGUGCAAGAAAAUUGCUCUCUCGCCUCAUUGGUGGUCAGUGUUUUUGACUGUUGGGAGAAAAAGAAAGAUUUUAGAAAAAUGUCACCAAGAAUUGCCUUCAUCUUUCUGGGGGAACAAUGGCACUAAUUAUCUUCUGAGGGAAAAAAAACCCUCUGAUUGGAUUAUGGGAUUAAAUGUCAGAAAUCAAAUCAGCUGCUCCUGUACACAACCUAGACUCUCCUUUAAAAGUUUAUAUUCUAUAAUAAUUUUUCAACUAAUGACUGAUUAGGGUUAUUCUGUUUCGAAUGAGGCUAUAUUUGUUACUCAGAGUUGCAAAUUAUGGAAUCAUAUAAUGAUUGUCGUGGUUUACAAAUAUUUUUAAUGACAUCAGAUUGUAUGAAGGAGAGAAUGUGGCCCAGCACAUAAAAUGUAGUACAGAUAGUGGUUAAGAAACUUAAUAAUGCACUUAGAUGAGAUUUGACAACGGUUAAGAGCUGAUAACAUCUUUACCAGUGUGUCAACAGCAAAGUGAUUAGAACAGAAAAAUUCAUCUCCUAUUGGAACAUUUCAAAAGAAAUGAACCAUUCUGAAUUUUCCCUAGUAUGUCUUGUCCAUGAAUACAGGUAUGAAAACAAUAGUAUUUUUCCCAAAGGAUUACCAUCUAUAAAUUAGAUAUUCCAAAAAGCUAGGAAAAAAAACCUUUAAAAUUUUAUUUGAUAGAACUCUUUUUUUUACUGUUUUAAUUUUGGAUAUCACCUUGUACAUUAGUGGUGGUAUAUAAAUAACAACAAUAAUAGGAAAAACAGCAACAGUAAAAACAAUUUCUUCAUUCAUAAAGGUGCAGCAACCCCAGACCACGAUUUCAUGAGAAUGAAUAAAGGAAAUUUUCUAGAUCUUAAAAGAGCUUAUUGAAGAUUUAAAUUCCAAAAUAAAUGCAAGAAAAUCCCACCCCCUAAAUCUAUAUAUUUGAGGAACUGUUGUAACCACCUAGUGUGAUGAAUAUGUACAUUUGGCCUGUUCCAACACUCUGCAUAAACCCAUAUAUUAUCUAAUAUGCAAACAAGUAGUACUUAAAACAUAAGCUACAGUAUUCCACAAGAACCCAGCUUCUGUUCAGUUUCUCAUCUAGCCUGGAGUAUAUAAGCACUGUAAUUCUGUUCAUACUUUGCAAGGAUUAUAAAAUCUUCAGCCAUAAGAGAUGAAUGACUUUUUUCUAAAUUGAAAGACAACAAGAGUCACUGUCAUUUAAAGUAAAGAAUAUUUGGGCUAAUUGUACAACUAGUUCUAUAUAGGGUGUCUGCAAUAUCUACGAACAUGAAGGCAGCAAACCAUUGUGGAUUUUACCAAGUCUAGUUACUGCUUUGAAUAGAUCUGUUAUUACUGGAUCCACACAUAGUCUGUUGUAAGGUAGUUUUCCUUGUAACUGGUGUUUGUGUAUUUCUACAGUGGUAGAUAGUAAUCCUUGAUCUUUUAAUGAGUUGUUCCAUCUCAGUUUAGUCAUUGCUCUUUGUACAAACAAUGAAUCACUUUAUAGCUCAUAUGAGAUUCAUAUAAGGAGCAGAUAAAAUUCUCCACCUCAUCUUCCUCAUCUGACCACUGAAUUGCCUUCACUGAACAAUUGGACACAUGUCCAGAAAUAUCCUCUUUUCCUCCAAGUUAUAUCCUUACUUUCCCAGUUAAUUUAUUCCACAGUAGCAAUCCCUCAGGUGAGAUUUGCUACAAAAAGGUCAUUUGUUUCUAAUAGAUUAUGUUCUUAUUAACUGGCAGACCAAACACACCAAAGUGUGAAGUUUUUCAACCCAAUUUUCACUUACAUUAGUGUCUUGGUGGUGUCAGUUAGCGAGUAGAAAAUAUUUAGAAACCAUGUUUUAUAUUUUUCAACUGAUCUCCAAGAUAGCUGGCAGAAAGGUGAGACACAAUCUUAGAUUCCUAUGUAUUCUCCCAUGCUUUCUCUUCUGAAUUAGGAUUACCUCGUUCUUCCCUUUUCUUACGAGCUUCACGUACAUUUUUUGUGUCAGGAGUGAUGUGAGAAACUGCAAGUUGCUUCUGGUGUGAGAGAAUUGGCUGUCUGCAAGGAUGUUGCCCAGGGGACGCCCAGAUGUUUUGAUGUUUUUACCAUUCUUAUGGGAGGCUUCUCUCAUGUCCCGUAUGGAGCUGGAGCUGAUAGAGGGAGCUCAUCUGCACUCUUCCUGGAUUGGAUUUGAAACAGCAACCUUCAGGUCAGUAAUCCAACCUGAAGGUCAUCAGUCCUGCUGACACAAGGGUUUAACCCACUGUGCCACCGGGAACUCUGGGCUUCACAUAUAUAACAAUGAUAAAGUUGUCAGGCUUAACUGCAUCCUCUCCACAUUGGGGAUAAUUGUACCUAUUGCAUUUAACAUGUGCAAUGGUUGAGAAUGUAAUUCGAUUAAUUUUGAUAACAACAUACUACAUUGUGUCUUUUUUAAUAGAAAGGGAUUGUUCUAGUCUGGCAAGCAUCAGAGGAUGAGGGGAUGAUAGGUUCUAAAAUGAGGUGUCUGUGAGUGUUCAGGGGGAAUUUCAGGCAGAAGAGGCUGAUGUUUGGAAUUAUUCAGAUCGUUCCCAGGCACCAGGAGAAACUGAAAGCACCAGUUCCCUUGAGAAAAAACCUUGGGAAGAUGGGGAUGUUUCAAGGGAGUGUAGAUUAAACUUUUUCACACAGGGUGUGAAAAACAGGCAAACUAGAUAUUCCCAGCGGGUUUGCAAUAAAACCUUGAAGUCCAGGUGUGUUAGGCAUGAUGUCAUGGGUGUCUGGAUGGGCUUAAAUUAAGUGGUUUAACUUCAAGCCUCUCAGAGAAGACAAUGUUGCUACUGGGGAUUCAGUCUCCUGUUCAUGUUACCAAGUUUCUGGUUCCUGUAUUGUCACAUUUCUUGUGUAUUGUUCCUGUCUAUGCUUAUGUACCUUUGGAGGUUUUACCUUGGAGAGGUUCCUGUGUUCAUGUUCAUGAAAAUACCUUGGAUUACUUCUUUAUUCUUGUUGGGUGAAAGGGUGUCUCAGUGCUAGGGUGCAACAGGAAUAAAAACACUGUCUUGGAAAACCUUUUCCUUAGCUUUGGGUGAUAAUUGCAAACAUAUCUGGAUAGAAAUUGCCUUGUGAUAAUGCUUCACAAUUUGGUAUCCCCUGUUUUAAUUUUUUCAAUGUGUUACAUAUGCUUCUUCAAAAAAUAGUCCAAAUACUUCAGUUAGUCCAAAGUGGAAUGUUAAAUGAAAAUGUCUCUCAUCCAGUUAACAUGCCACCUACAUAGGUGGUCACAUCACUUUUUGAUUCAAAUUGCUGUUUUGAACUCAUAAAGCUUUAAGUUAGUAAUGAAAAUAACAUUUUAAAAUAUUCAGAAAUUGUUAAAAACAUGUUUUUGAGUGUUAAGAAACCCUGAUGAGAAGACUCCUGUGCUGAUGAGACUCUGCAUCUCAAGACUAUUUGUGUGCCAAAUUUGCACAUCACGUUUUCCUAUGGAAAAAAUAUUGAAAUGUACAUACAUUAAUCACUGUACAGAAAUUCUGCAUUUGAAGAAUUUAUUUUCCUUAAAUAUUGUACAUGAUUUACUUGCACAGAAAAUAGGUGGUUGGGGAAGAGGGUCUCGGAGGGGGGAGGAAACAGCAUUUUCGGAGCAGGAGAUCAUAUUUCUGCAUUGAAAUAUUACUUUCAUGUAAUAAUCUUGGGAAGGGGUUGAAGAAAAUUCUGGUUUUGUGCUAAAUAUAUAUUACAAAUAUUUCACAAAUAUAGUCUGAAUUAUGAACAACUUUUAAAAAACUAUUUUCAAAGAUUUUACAAUGGUGGGAUGAAAGCUGCUGAAAUUAUUCAUUACUACACUCAAGAAGAAAUUGUGAGAGGAGUUGCAUUCAUACACUAAGUAGCAUAUGUUAUCAUUUGAGAGUCUCAACCAGAUUUUUUUUCCAAGUAAGAUGAGAUGCCAGGGUAUAAGAUAGAGGGCCUUUUCAUCAGUGGUGAUAGCACAUUUGAAAAAUAGUCUCCUGAAAGAGACUCACUUAAUGCCUAUGUUAUCCUUUCAGACAUUACAUAAAAACCUUGUCAUUCCCUAAGCUACUUUUAAAAAAACACUUGAAUGUUAAUCCUCUCUCCUAUGCUAUUUUUUUUCCUCUGGGUUUUAUUAUGGCAUUGUUAUGUUCUGAAUUAUUUUUUGCUCUCUACUAUUGAUUUCAUCUUUUUUAUCUUAUGAUGUUUAUUGCUUUAUUAUGAUUAUAAUUUUAAUGUACUAACAAACUACCUAGGGAGAUUGAGUUUCUUGAAAGCCUAAAGAUAUAACAAAAAAGGGAGGAAUAAAUCAAUAUGGCAUUCUGCUACUUUGUUUCCAAUAUUGUUUUGUUUUAACUGGCAUUAUUUAUUCUCAUGGAUUCGAGCAUAUUGUAGCAAUUUAUGAUGAAAACUGAACAAUAACAUUUUUAAUGAAGGAGAGGUUUGAGUGUUUAUCUACAGAUCUAUUUAAUAGGAGAAUACCAAUGUUUUUAUUCAAGGACUAGUCUGAGUGAAUAUAAACAAAGCAGUUCAACUAAAAGAGAAAAACAAAUUUUAUAAUAUUGAAAUUGACCACAUAUUUCAAAUAUCUCAUGUUUAGCCCUGUGUCAUUGUUUUUGUCAGAUAUAGAGCCAAAUGUGUGUAGGUCAUCAUUGUUGGAAAAUGUGGGGACAUCUAGUGUCAUAAUA